rnacentral:rRNA from 1 species
UACGGGGGGAGCAAGCGUUGUUCGGAUUUACUGGGCGUAAAGGGCGCGUAGGCGGCGCAACAAGUCACUUGUGAAAUCUCCGGGCUUAACCCGGAGCGGUCAAGUGAUACUGUCGUGCUAGAGUGCGGAAGGGGCUACUGGAAUUCUCGGUGUAGCGGUGAAAUGCGUAGAUAUCGAGAGGAACACCUGCGGCGAAGGCGGUCUUCUGGACGGGUGACUGACGCU